GACGAACCGAGCGAACGUUGUUCGGAAUCACUGGGCUUAAAGGGCGCGUAGGCGGGCUGUCAAGUCUGGGGUGAAAUCCCGCGGCUCAACCGUGGAACUGCCUCAGAUACUGACGGUCUCGAGGGGGAUAGGGCGAGCGGAACUGUGAGUGGAGCGGUGAAAUGCGUUGAUAUUCACAGGAACUCCGGUGGCGAAGGCGGCUCGCUGGAUCUCUUCUGACGCUGAGGCGCGAAAAGCUGAGGGAGCCAAAC
rnacentral:rRNA from 1 species